GUCCUUUCUGGCUCAGCUGAUAGAGCAUGACAUUAACACUUUGAGGGUUGGGGGUUCGAUCCCCACUGGGGAGACA